CGUGGRUAACUGCACAAUGGGCGCAAGCCUGAUGCAGCCMYGCCGCGUGUAUGAAGAAGGCCUUCGGGUUGUAAAGUACUUUCAGCCGGGAGGAAGGGAGUCAAGUUAAUACCUUUGCUCAUUGACUUUACUCNNAAKAA
rnacentral:rRNA from 1 species